UUCUUGUGGCGAAAAAUUUUCAUACUUGGCAUAGCGGUUUUUGUAUAAAAGAUGGCGGACGCUCAGGCGUCUGGGAUGGCGUCCAAAAUGGCGUGCGCAUCUUUUAAGAAUGCGCAGGCCAAUUUGGGCAAAAUCGGGAAAACUAGGAAGAAAAAGACUUUUGGCUCAGUCUCCAAGAGACCUAAGGGCGAUUCUAACAGAUUGGUGGAGGAGUUUAGUGAUUCGAGUGAAAAUAUGAGUUGUGGCGAACUUCCCCCACUCAGCGGCAUGCUGGUUAAGAGGGGCUCGUUAGCUAGUGUGGUACAGUCUGAUAGUGUCCAGACGAAUAUUGAAAACGCUUUUACAGUAGUGGAAAAUUCAUUGGGUUCGUCCGAUUUUUUGAAUAGUAAUGUUGGUUGCGGUUUGGAUAGUGCUCAGUACAGUGCUGGUGGCCAUGUUAAUCAUUUGAAUGCAAUGGCGGCUCAGGUUAGCGCUGACUCUGCUAAUCAGGGGUUUUAAAUACAUCCGAAAGUAAUAAGUUCAAUCAAAAUGAAAGUCAGAGAUAUAAUGUGGAUUUUAAGGGAGAAGCAGUUGUUCUUAUGGAUGCGUCUAAAAGUGGUUUAUUUGAGAAUAAGGGGGUGAAGAACGGCCUUUUCCUUUUCGGCAAAAUUCGGAAGUUAAAUAUAAGUGGUCUGAAAAACAUUCUUGCCAUAGGAAGGUCCUUAUUUAAGGUCUUCUUUUACUCGGUUAAAGAUGCAAACGCAAGUCUGACUAACAAUGACUUCAAGAAUAUGGGAAUUAGAGUCUUUAUUCCCAAAAGUUUUUUUGAGACCUAUGGUGUGAUCAGACAGGUACCUCUUGACUUUCUAGAAAGUGAAAUAUUUAACAACAUUCAGUCGGACAUUCCGGUGUCAUCGGUGUCUAGAAUAACUAGGAGAGAUCCAAACAACAAGGAGAAUUUUGUUCCUACUUUUUCGUUAAAAAUUGGCUUUGAAGGAAAUGUUAUACCGGAGUCGGUCAGAAUUUUCUGUGUCGGGUUUAGGGUGAAUCAUUUCUUUCCCAGGGCCAAGCAAUGUUUUAAGUGUGGGCGUCUCGGCCAUACGAAACUUUCUUGCAGGUCAAAGAACCGGUGCAUAGUCUGUGGCAAGGAGGAAUCUUGUCAGGAAAAAUGCAAUAGUACUAACCCUAAGUGCAUUUUAUGUGGUAGUAAUGACCAUUUAUCGUUCAAUAAAAAUAGGUGUCCCAGCUGGGAGAAAGAAAGACAGGUCAUUGAGAUCAUGACGGUGAAGAAGUUGUCUAAGCGUGAAGUGUUUGAUAGCUACAGAAAUGUGCUCGAAGGGAAUAGUUUCUCAGUACUGGCCGAUUAUGAUGAAAUGUUCCCAGCUAGGGUGGGACAGGCCGAAGUGAGGCAGAAUAACGAAGGUGUAGUAAAUAGGAGUCUAACCAGGAGAAAAUACAACGUGGUUGCCAGAGCAGCAAUUAACAAGAGCAGUGAGAUCGGCAAAAAGGUUCAGCAGGCCAGGAUUAUAGAAAAGUCUGUGCCGGUGUAUGAAAGUCCCAAGUGGGAGAGAGUGAGUGAAAUUGAAAAACUUCUCAGUGAGUUGUCCGUGAAAUUCAAUAUUGAUGCUGAGGAGCCGAUUUUGAAGGUGUUGGGGAAUCUAAUUAAAACUAACGUAGAUGAUAGACUUGUUGUAAAUAGAAACAAAGAUGACAAUAAAAAUUCUUCAAUUUAAUUGUCAGAGUCUGAAAGCCAAUAGAGAUUAUAUAGACUUUUUCAUUCAGCAUAAUGAGAUUGACAUAGUGGUUCUACAAGAGAUUUUCUCGUGCGGUGAUAUUAGUGAGGGCCAUAAACUUAUAAAUUUUAAUUUGUUAUCAAAGUUCAGGGCAGAUGGCUACGGGGGUGUAGCCAUUGGAAGUAGGAAAAACUUACGCUUACAGAAAAUCAGAUACAAUUCCAACUAUGACAUUGUUGUGGCUAAAACCACAAGCUUGCUUCAAAAUUUUAUUAUAGUUUCUGCUUAUUUUCCACCGAAUUUAAACAAACAUCUCUUUGACUAUGAAAUUAGUCGUUUAUUGCUGUUUUUGGAGGGACGCGAAAACAUCCUACUGUUGGGGGAUUUCAAUGCUAAGACCAGAAGAUGGGGUAGCCCAAAGGACCUUCCUAAAGGUAAAAUUCUGCUCGAUGCGAUUCGUAAGGCAAAUUUCAAAUGUUUAAACGAUGGUAGUCCUACUUUCGCUACUAGCAAAAAUUGUCCAGGCAGCCUUUCAGUCUUAGAUCUUUCUUUUACUAACUCGAACUGUCAGCUUAUGUGGAAGGUGGUCCCUGUUUUUGUCGGGGGCAGCCAUCACUGGCCAAUUAUUAUAGAUUUUCCAAACGUUGCGAGCAAACCGGUUCCGUUCGUUCAAAAGCGAAAACUUAACUCGGUGCUGGCUAGAAUUCACUGUAAUGAGGGGGUUGAUGGUAUCUGCGAGGCCAUAAAUAAGGAGAUUAAAGGAGCCACGAUUGAUUUAAACUCUGUAAAGGGUUCCCUCAAAGCGUGGUGGAACGAGUCAUUAAAAAAACAAUUUCGCCUGCUGUCGGCGUGCAGGAAGAAAGCGAGGCUGACGAACAAUGUUAGAGACUUUGAGGAUUUACUUAAUAUGGAAGAGGAGUGGAAAGCGGCUGUAAAAAAAGCAAAAGCGGACUGCUAUCGGGCGAAAAUUAGUGAGUUAAAUGAAUACCCGAAUACUACAGAUGCAUGGAGGUUCGUUAAUAGUGUUAAGGGGACUCGUAAAAGGGUUCCAUGUUGGCCCAGUGAUGAGCAGGCUCAAUAUUUAGACGUAUUAAAAAACCAAUGCGCAGUGCGGACCGUUGAAGUGGGUAGGGACUGUCAGGUCAGCGACAAUGGGUGUAUGGACGAGUCGGGGUUAGAGUUUUCGGUGGAGACGUUUGACAGCGUUUUGAAGAAAAUGAAGAAAUCGGCGGGGGGCUUGGAUGGCGUAACAUUUGGUAUGCUGAAAGGGCUGCCGGUAGACACGAAGGAGGCUUUAGUUCACGAUUUGAGAGGCAUUUUCUGGAGAAUAGAGUUAGAGAGGAGUGGAGGAAGAUCAAGAUCGUACCUAUUCCUAAGCAUGGGAAGGAUCUUAAUGAUAUUCAGAAUUUCAGACCUAUAUCGCUUCUUUCAGUGUUUGUGAAGAGUAUCAACAUGAUUAUAAAAGAAGAGCUAAUGGAAUGGGCGGAAAAAAAUAACGUGUUUCCGGAUGGCUGUUUUGAAUACAGAAAAGGGAAAUCGGCGACAAUGUGCCUGAAUGAGUUCAUUUACUGGUCCAGUAAAUUUAAGAAGUGUAAGAAAAAAGUUUUCGUGUGUGUUUUGGAUAUUUCCGACGCGUACAAUCGUGUCAGCAUCGACAAGUUAGAUUACAGGUUAAAGGUUUUAGGAGUCGAUAACAGAAUUCGUAGUUGGGUUAUAAACUUUUUCUCCAGAAGAACUCUUGUGUUAGGAAAGCAUUCAGUUGAGGUUUCAAAUGGACUACCCCAGGGGAGCUGUCUGUCACCGCUGCUUUUUAACCUUUAUACUGCAGGGCUCCACAGGUUGAAUGAUGAUAGCUCGUUGAUGUUUCAGUUUGCGGAUGAUUUUGCGUUCAUCUGUUGUGGUAAUACUGAGCUGGAGGCUAUAAGUGCCCUUGAGGGUAAACUGAUGGCUUUCAGUAAUAGGUGCAAAAGUCUAAAUCUUGGCAUAAAUGUGGAAAAAACCAAAUUCAUGUGUGUAAACAGCAAUAGGUUUAGCUCUUUUUCUUUAUGCUUGGAUGGUAAAGAAGUUGAACAGGUCCGCUCGCUAAAGUGGUUGGGGAGGGUAAUUACUGCGAGUACAUCGGUAAAUAAUCAGGUUAGCAGACUAAAAAGGAUUGCGGUACCGGGUAAAAAUCUUAUCAAAUGUUUAACACCUAUUAAAAGCGGUUUGGUGCCCAAAGUAGCUUUAAAUUUUUAUAAGUCCUUUGUGAGAAGCAAGGUGGAAUACGCUAACUCCACUUAUGUGGAUGCACCUAUUGGGUACAACAAAAAGAUACAAGUCAUUUUGAAUGAUACUCUUAGGCGGUGCUUGGGGCUUCCUCCAAGUGCUCCGGUGCAUGUGAGGUAUGCUUUGGCAGGCGAGCUUCCCCCUCUGAAAAGAGCGGAAUGGUUGGCUGCCAAGGAGCUCAGCAGACAGUGGCUUGUAAAUCCUCGCCUCAGGGAUGACCUGAUGAGUGGGAGUGUCUCUAAAUCCAGUUAUUGUUUUGUUUACGAAAAGCACAAAGCCGUUUUCAAUCUUCUUGGUACUGAUGUUUCUUUUUGUAGGCAUCGUAACCUCCACGUGGAGCUUUCGGAGCUGGGUACUACCAAAAAUAAUGUUAGUACGGUACAGUUGAAAAGUAUUUUUGGCUCUAGACUAAGGGAACUGCAGAAUAGUGGUUUUUACCUCCUUGCCACGGAUGCGUCGGUUUCUGAUGGAAGGGUGGGUUUCGCAGUCCAUGAUCCUCAAAAAAAUUUGUCAUUCUUAUAUAGAGUAGUGGGUGAUUUUUCCUCCACCUUCGGGGAGCUUCUAGCAAUCAGGCAGGCGGUUCGGAUGAUGGUCAAGUUGGAGUGUAAGAAAAUUGCCAUUCUUUCAGAUAGCAUGGCGGCGUUGAGAUUAAUUAACAAGAAACGAACGACUAAUCAUAUUGUUGCGGAGAUUCAAAAUUUGAUGCACAAUUCAAAGUUUGAAGGCAUAAAGCUCAGUUGGGUUCCCAGUCAUGUGGGGUUAGUGUACAAUGAGAAAGCGGAUUUAGCGGCAAAGGCUGCAGUGAGAAAUGGACAGGACAUGCAUAUAAAGUUUACGGUUGAGGAGGGGCUUAGAAGAAUUCGGCAAGCCAUUUGGCGUGAGUGGGAGAGUGAGUUUUCGGAGAUUUGUCAAUCCAAAGGUAAAGUUUUUGCUGAAAAUGGAGGUAAGGUAACUGACUCCCCUUGGUUCUGCGAUAAAAAAUGCAAUUUUUCCGUUCAGGAAAUAAAAUUAAUAAAUAGACUCAUGUGUGGACACACAUAUGGAAAGAUUUUUUUAAGUAAGUUUAAAGCUAACAUCACUGAUGCCUGUUUAUGCUGUGGGGUUAGAGAGACAAAUGACCAUCUUAUUUUUGUAUGCCAAAAGUUUUCCGUUUAUUGUUAAGUAAUAGUCGUUUUAGGGAAAAUGAAGAAAAACAAUUUCAACCAGUCAAUUAUUAAAAAAAAAAAAGAGAAAUUUUAACGAAAGCAAGGAAAAAAAAAAAAAAGUAUGAGACAAAUAUGUAUGCAUUUUUGUUCCGAAUGCUUUAGAAUGUAGUCAUAUGAUUAAAUUUUUCUAUUCAAUCAGAUAUGGAAUUCGGCACGUACGAUUGUGCAUUUAAAAAAUAAUAAUAAUAGUAAAAAUAAUUAUAUUAGUAAUAAAAUUAGAGAUAUGUAUGACUGGUUUGGAGUAUGGAUGUAUCUACCUCAUUGUAGUUAAAUUUUCCAUAUGUACACGUAUUACGAGUUUGUUGUUAAUUGUAAAGAUGCCUAAAUUAGUGUUUUUUCUGCAAUCAAGUGCCUUUGAUUCUGCUGAAAUUAAUUUUGUGAGUCACCCUGCAUGCUUGUUCGACGUGGGAUUGAAUCAUCACUGGAACCGGCUCGUCGGGUCACCGCUCACUAAAAGCUUCGCAUUACAAUUAAAAUCUUCUUGGACAACCUGGCUCUUGAGGACAUCAUAACAGUCCUUGCCAAUUUUCUAUACGCGUUUUUGCGUUUCUAAACAAAAAAAAAAAAAUAAAAUA